rnacentral:rRNA from 1 species
UGCGUAGGUGGAUGCUUAAGUGAGAUGUGAAAUCCCCGGGCUCAACUUGGGGGCUGCAUUUCAAACUGGGCAUCUAGAGUGCAGGAGAGGAAAGCGGAAUUCCUAGUGUAGCGGUGAAAUGCGUAGAGAUUAGGAAGAACACCAGUGGCGAAGGCGGCUUUCUGGACUGUAACUGACACUGAGGCACGAAAGCGUGGGUAGCAAACA